ACGGAGUAGAUCAACAGGGAUUGCCCCAGUAACGGCGAGUGAAGCGGCAACAGCUCAAAUUUGAAAUCUGGCCCUCGGGUCCGAGUUGUAAUUUGCAGAGGAUGCUUCGGGCGAGGUGCCUUCCGAGUUCCCUGGAACGGGACGCCAUAGAGGGUGAGAGCCCCGUCUGGUUGGACACCGAGCCCGUGUGAAGCUCCUUCGAAGAGUCGAGUAGUUUGGGAAUGCUGCUCAAAAUGGGAGGUAUAUGUCUUCUAAAGCUAAAUAUUGGCCAGAGACCGAUAGCGCACAAGUAGAGUGAUCGAAAGAUGAAAAGCACUUUGAAAAGAGGGUUAAAAAGUACGUGAAAUUGUUGAAAGGGAAGCGCCCAUGACCAGACUUGGGCCCGGUGAAUCACCCGGCGUUCUCGCCGGUGCACUUUGCCGGGCACAGGCCAGCAUCAGUUUGGCGCGGGGGACAAAGGCUUCGGGAAUGUGGCUCCCUCGGGAGUGUUAUAGCCCGCUGCGCAAUACCCUGCGCCGGACUGAGGUACGCGCAUCGCAAGGAUGCUGGCGUAAUGGUCAUCAGCGACCCGUCUUGAAACACGGACCAAGGAGUCGUCUUCGUAUGCGAGUGUUCGGGUGUCAAACCCCUACGCGGAAUGAAAGUGAACGCAGGUGAGAGCUUCGGCGCAUCAUCGACCGAUCCUGAUGUUCUCGGAUGGAUUUGAGUAAGAGCAUACGGGGCCGGACCCGAAAGAAGGUGAACUAUGCCUGUGUAGGGUGAAGCCAGAGGAAACUCUGGUGGAAGCUCGCAGCGGUUCUGACGUGCGAAUCGAUCGUCAAACAUGGGCAUGGGGGCGAAAGACUAAUCGAACCUUCUAGUAGCUGGUUUCCGCGAGUUUCUCCCUCCCGGAGAAGAA
rnacentral:rRNA from 1 species